rnacentral:rRNA from 1 species
UUUCCAGACUCCUACGGGAGGCAGCAGUGAGGAAUAUUGGUCAAUGGGCUUACGCCUGAACCAGCCAAGUCGCGUGAGGGAAGACGGUCCUAUGGAUUGUAAACCUCUUUUGCCGGGGAGCAAAAAGCGGUACGUGUACCGCAUCGAGAGUACCCGGAGAAAAAGCAUCGGCUAACUCCGUGCCAGCAGCCGCGGUAAUACGGAGGAUGCGAGCGUUAUCCGGAUUUAUUGGGUUUAAAGGGUGCGCAGGCGGCGAGUUAAGUCAGCGGUAAAAUUGCGGGGCUCAACCCCGACAAGCCGUUGAAACUGGCUUGCUAGAGUGGGCGAGAAGUAUGCGGAAUGCGUGGUGUAGCGGUGAAAUGCAUAGAUAUCACGCAGAACUCCGAUUGCGAAGGCAGCAUACCGGCGCCCAACUGACGCUCAGGCACGAAAGCGUGGGUAUCGAACAGGAUUAGAUACCCCUGUA